UUGGGACUAAUACGUUGCCCCGAUGGCAAUAACAGUGCCUGCGGGAUGAACAGGUCCCAAUAUUUACUACCAUUUUGCUCACUUUGUCAGCUAUUAUUCACAUUAUUAGCUGAUCAUUUAAGGAUGGGAAAUU
rnacentral:snoRNA from 1 species